UACGUAGGGGGCAAGCGUUGUCCGGAUUUAUUGGGCGUAAAGAGCGUGUAGGCGGCCAGGUAGGUCGGUUGUGAAAACUCGAGGCUCAACCUCGAGAUGUCGACCGAAACCAUCUGGCUAGAGUCCGGAAGAGGAGAAUGGAAUUCCCGGUGUAGCGGUGAAAUGCGCAGAUAUCAGGAAGAACACCCGUGGCGAAGGCGGUUCUCUGGGACGGUACUGACGCUGAGACGCGAAAGCGUGGGGAGCGAACAGG
rnacentral:rRNA from 1 species